GCUGAGACUAGAAUCACAUCCUGACAUGGACCUUGUCCUGGUGUGCUAGAGUUCUCAGAGAUGAUCUGCCGGUCUUGAUUCACUGGCAGGGACAGCUGGUGCUCCUUUUAGUGCCCAGAUCAGGAAUAUGA
ensembl:snoRNA